rnacentral:lncRNA from 1 species
AGAUAAUUCUUUUUGUAUUGUUGCCAAACAGUUUAAAGUGGAAUGUUCAACAAGAAGGUGGAUGUUUUGAAUGGCAAAAGAAUUUGUGUCUGAUUGUUAAAGCAACAGCUCUUCAAAGGAGGUAAUCAUCUGCCGCAAGGAAAUGAUAAAUUGCAGAAAAAAUUAGCGAACAGCAUUAUUCUGGGAACAGCUAUGGCAGAAAGAAUGUAUCUGCACGGUGUUUGACGUCCCCUCCCCUGCUAAGAUCGAUAUGUAAGCCACCUUCUGUUGCCUGCUCAUCAAGAAUGCANUCANGUAAACGGCUAACCCANCAUACAAGAGUCUGCCCUAAUAUCAUUAUCUUGGCUGUGCGUACAUAAACAAAAUGAAAAUAAUGACACAGGUAGCCCAAUACACUUACACAUUAGAAAGUCAGAAUCAUUUUAUUAACACGAAUAAUGACAAUAAAAAUGAAUCAAAUAAACAAGAAAUAAAGUGAAAUAUUGAAUAAAAAAUUUCGAUAAAAAAGUGAUGCACAAUCUCGGGAUUCGAACCCUAAGCCACUUUGCCAAUAUCGGAUUUUGGGCACAGCGCCUUAACAAGUUGCGCCACAGGACCAUGCUCAUUUACAUAAUAAUAGACCACUUGACACUUUCGCCGAAUAGACUA